AAACGCUGGCGGCGCACAUAAGACAUGCAAGUCGAACGGAAGUCGUUAUUAAAUGGAGAGAAGAUUUAUCAGAUUGAAGUUUAGUAACAAUGGCUUUAGUGGCGGACUGGUGAGUAAAACGUAAGCAACCUGCCUGUUAGAGGGGAACAACAGUUAGAAAUGACUGCUAAUACCGCAUAUGCCAUAGUAAUCACAUGAUUAUAGUGGGAAAGGAGCAAUCCGCUAAUAGAUGGGCUUACGGCUGAUUAGCUAGUUGGUAAGGUAAAGGCUUACCAAGGCGACGAUCAGUAGCCGGACUGAGAGGUUGAACGGCCACAUUGGGACUGAGAUACGGCCCAGACUCCUACGGGAGGCAGCAGUCGGGAAUUUUGCGCAAUGGAGGAAACUCUGACGCAGUGACGCCGCGUGCAGGAAGAAGGUUUUCGGAUUGUAAACUGCUUUAGACAGGGAAGAAAAAGGACAGUACCUGUAGAAUAAGCUCCGGCUAACUACGUGCC
rnacentral:rRNA from 1 species